rnacentral:rRNA from 1 species
CGACGAGCAAUAUGAAGGUCAGGCUGAAGACCUUACCCGAUUAGCUGAGAGGUGGUGCAUGGCCGUCGUCAGUUCGUACUGUGAAGCAUCCUGUUAAGUCAGGCAACGAGCGAGACCCACGUCCACAGUUGCCAGCAUACCCUCCGGGGUGAUGGGUACACUGUGGAGACCGCCGCUGCUAAAGCGGAGGAAGGAGUGGGCAACGGUAGGUCAGUAUGCCCCGAAUCUCCCGGGCUACACGCGGGCUACAAUGGUUGGUACAAUGGGCAUCUACCCCGAAAGGGGAAGGAAAUCUCUUAAAGCCAAUCGUAGUUCGGAUUGAGGGCUGCAACUCGCCCUCAUGAAGCUGGAAUCCGUAGUAAUCGCGUUUCAACAGAACGCGGUGAAUACGUCCCUGCUCCUU